rnacentral:misc_RNA from 1 species
UAAUAAUAAUAAUAAUAAUAAUUGCUCUAAUGAGCACCACAAGGCAACAAUAUGAACACAAUUUAAAAGUUAAUACCUCUCAAAGGCCUGUAUAAUAAAUAAUAUAAUUCACAUCAUCUUCAUUUCAUACAUCUUCACUCUAAGUCCAACAAUUAAGUUAAAAAGAAUUUAUGAACUUCACAUAGAGUUUAGGACAUGCCAAACUUGGUCCAUGAGAAUAAACAAUUAAACAAAGGUUUACCAAACUCAUAAUGAAAUUCUAAGAUAAUAAAUAUAAAAUUCACCUUAUUUCUGAUUACUUGAAAGAUCUAGGUGAAUAAUAUGAUUAAAGAAGUUACAUCAUAUUUUAUGCAUUUUUUUGUCAACUUAUUUCAUGCUACAUUAUAUAAAAUUUCCAACUAUUUAAGGUUAAUUUCAUUUCAAAUUAACUAUACAAAGCUGAAGGAGUGAAUUUAAUUUCAAACCUGAAAUCUUAUAUUUUUCUAACUGAAUAACAACUUAUUUUAAAAACAUAUCUAAAAAAAAUUAUCAUAUUAAAAUUUCCAUAACUCAAGUCUUAAUUACCAUUUUUAUUAAAUUUCCUAAAUUCCUAAACCUUAUCAUUUUAACUUUGAUUUAACAUAUCAAAAAUAAUUGUUUCUUAUCAAUAAAAUCAAUAAAUACAGUAUUCUUGCUUUCAAACAAAAAACAAAUAGAGUAUUCUUUAGUUUCAUAUUUGCAUAGCUUUAUACUUUCAAUUAAUAAU